UAUAACAUGUUUUAGAAAACUGUCGUGACAAUCUAUUGCACAUAAAAUUCUGAUAUUUUUUUCCUACAUUAUUCAAGAUUGUUUUCCUUUGAAAGAAAUUGUCUUGAGAUGGAAACGUUUUGGCGCAUUGUGGGCAAUAAUUUUCACUCGAUUUUGGAGACAUCUAGAGUCGUAUUAAGGCAAACUAGGCAAGGGCAUAGGGCAUCUGGUUGAAGAGAUGCGCGUAAGCAUAUAGUGAUGGGGGCGCCUAUGAGGUGUUUUCGUAGGGCGCUCUCUAUAUUCUAUCCGUCCCUGAAGACAUCCAUGGCGGUAAAGUUUAUAAAUGUACUACAAAAGCAUAGGCUUCUUUAUUUAAGAAAACAUGUAGACGAUUUGGUUCUGUAACUGUAAGUCUAUAUUGUUGUUGAAUUAUAAAUAAAUAAUAGUACAUAGAUACUUGUAGAUAAUGCCUAUGGUAUUGAUGCCUGAAUACUCGAACGUCACUAAAAUAUAGCCGUUAGUAAA